UACGUAGGGUGCGAGCGUUAAUCGGAAUUACUGGGCGUAAAGCGUGCGCAGGCGGCGCGUUAAGACAGGUGUGAAAGCCCCCGAGCUUAACUUGGGAAUUGCGCUUGUGACUGGCGUGCUGGAGUGUGGCAGAGGGAGGUGGAAUUCCACGUGUAGCAGUGAAAUGCGUAGAGAAUGUGGAGGAACACCGAUGGCGAAAGGGCAGCCCUCCUGGGCCAGCACUGACGCUCAUGCACGAAGCGUGGGAGCAAACAGGAAU
rnacentral:rRNA from 1 species